rnacentral:rRNA from 1 species
CGGGGUGCACCAGGCGCGAAAACUUUACAAUGCGGGAAACCGUGAUAAGGGGACACCGAGUGCCAGCAUCAUAUGCUGGCUGUCCAGGUGUGUAAAAUACACCUGUCAGCAAGGGCCGGGCAAGACCGGUGCCAGCCGCCGCGGUAACACCGGCGGCCCGAGUGGUGAUCGUGAUUAUUGGGUCUAAAGGGUCCGUAGCCGGUUUGGUCAGUCCUCCGGGAAAUCUGACGGCUCAACCGUUAGGCUUUCGGGGGAUACUGCCAGGCUUGGAACCGGGAGAGGUAAGAGGUACUACAGGGGUAGGAGUGAAAUCUUGUAAUCCCUGUGAGACCACCUGUGGCGAAGGCGUCUUACCAGAACGGGUUCGACGGUGAGGGACGAAAGCUGGGGGCACGAACCGGAUUAGAUACCCGGGUAGUCCCAGCCGUAAACGAUGCUCGCUAGGUGUCAGGCAUGGCGCGACCGUGUCUGGUGCCGCAGGGAAGCCGUGAAGCGAGCCACCUGGGAAGUACGGCCGCAAGGCUGAAACUUAAAGGAAUUGGCGGGGGAGCACAAGGGCGAAUCGCG